CUCAUGUCAAUCAAGAAACAUUAUUCUGGAGCUGAUGAUGCUGAGGCGAUUUUUUUGAAUUUCCAGUCAAAUUUUUUAGGUCGUAAAGGAUAUUUGCCCCGUUGGCGCCUUUUUUAAACUCCAUUUUAAAAAAUAAAUACAGAAAAUAAAAGAAGCUACAAAUUUAUCAUUGAUUCAAGAAGCUAAAGAUUUAUUAUUGAUUCAAGAAGCUAAAGAUUUAAAAAUACAGAAAAUAAAAGAAAAGAUUUAUCAUUGAUUCAAGAAGCUAAUCAUUGAUUCAAGAAGCUAAAGAUUUAAAAACAGAAAAUAAAAGAAGCUAAAGAUUUAUUAUUGAUUCAAGAAGCUAAAGAUUUAUUAUUGAUUCAAGAAGCUAAUCAUUGAAUCAAGAAGCUAAAGAUUUAAAAACAGAAAAUAAAAGAAGGCUAAAGAUUUAUCAUUGAUUCAAGAAGCUAAAGAUUUAUUAUUGAUUCAAGAAGCUAAAGAUUUAUCAUUGAUUCAAGAAGCUAAAGAUUUAAAAACAGAUGUUACAAGAAAAGGUAUAGUUAAAAAAAAAAUUAUUUAUAUAUUUAUCAAGAUGACACAAUUAAAUCAGGACAGAAAAAAUGUUAAUACUUUUAAAAAUUUAAUAUUCCUUUUUUUUUAGAUGAGGAUGAAAAUUUUCAAGAACCAGCUAUUAAAAAUCUAAAGCUUAAUGCGGAAGAAAAUCAUAUGAAGGUUAUGAAUAUACUAAAUUCGAUAGUUGGAGAGGAUUAUAAUUGUAUAAACAAAAAAGAUGAUGGAGUUAAGACACCAGAAAAAGCAUAGAAAAUGCUAGAGCAUAAUGACAUUCGACCUUUUGGUGCCCCGCCGGAGAGGAAGGGCAUAGCUCAAAAUGCCGUUUAUGGUACAGAGGUGGAGAUAGUUGCAAUGACAACUAUGCUCCAGACAAAUAUUUUAAUACAUACUAUUUAUAAAUGGGCAUACUAUAUGCCCAUUAAAAAAUUAAGUAAUAUUAAAAAAUUUAAUGUAAAUAUUUAUUUAAUAAAUCAUAGCGAACAUAUU